rnacentral:rRNA from 1 species
AAGGUGGGGUCGCAAGACCUCACGUUAUAGGAGCGGCCGAUGUCCGAUUAGCUAGUUGGUGGGGUAAAGGCCUACCAAGGCGACGAUCGGUAGCUGGUCUGAGAGGAUGAUCAGCCACACUGGGACUGAGACACGGCCCAGACUCCUACGGGAGGCAGCAGUGGGGAAUUUUGGACAAUGGGCGAAAGCCUGAUCCAGCCAUGCCGCGUGCGGGAAGAAGGCCUUCGGGUUGUAAACCGCUUUAGUACCGGGAAAAAGGGGUGCGAGGAUAAUACCCUCGUGCUUUGAUGGUACUGGAAGAAUAAGCACCGGCUAACUACGUG